rnacentral:misc_RNA from 1 species
GAUGAAGAACGUAGCGAAAUGCGAUAAGUAAUGUGAAUUGCAGAAUUCAGUGAAUCAUCGAAUCUUUGAACGCACAUUGCGCCCCCUGGUAUUCCGGGGGGCAUGCCUGUUCGAGCGUCAUUUCACCACUCAAGCCUCGCUUGGUAUUGGGCAACGCGGUCCGCCGCGUGCCUCAAAUCGACCGGCUGGGUCUUCUGUCCCCUAAGCGUUGUGGAAACUAUUCGCUAAAGGGUGUUCGGGAGGCUACGCCGUAAAACAACCCCAUUUCUAAGGUUGACCUCGGAUCAGGUAGGGAUACCCGCUGAACUUAAGCAUAUCAAUAAGGGAGGA